ACGGAACCAACAGACUCUGAGCCUCU
rnacentral:piRNA from 1 species